ACUCAAAUGAAUUGACGGGGGCCCGCACAAGCAGCGGAGCAUGUGGUUUAAUUCGACGCGACGCGAAGAACCUUACCUGGGCUUGACAUGGCAGCGACCGCCCUGGAAACAGGGUUUCCCUUCGGGGCGCUGUCACAGGUGGUGCAUGGCUGUCGUCAGCUCGUGUCGUGAGAUGUUGGGUUAAGUCCCGCAACGAGCGCAACCCCCGUCGUAUGUUGCCAGCAUUUAGUUGGGGACUCAUGCGAGACUGCCGGUGACAAACCGGAGGAAGGUGGGGAUGACGUCAAGUCAUCAUGCCCCUUAUGUCCAGGGCUACACACGUGCUACAUUGGCGCCUACAGAGGGUUGCGAUACCGCGAGGUGGAGCGAAUCCCUUAAAGGGCGUCUCGGUUCGGAUUGCAGGCUGAAACUCGCCUGCAUGAAGGUGGAGUUGCUAGUAAUCGCGGAUCAGCAUUGCCGCGGUGAAUACGUUCCCGGGCCUUGCACACACCGCCCGU
rnacentral:rRNA from 1 species